rnacentral:rRNA from 1 species
UGAGCGGAGGCACAUCUCAAACCUUUUGGUUUGGCCUUGGUUCUAAAUGUUACGCCACGAUUGUUACAUUAAUCUGGCUCGUUUUUCCCUCAAAUCAGGUAGGAUUACCCGCUGAACUUAAGCAUAUCAAUAAGCGGAGGAAAAGAAACCAACAGGGAUUGCCUUAGUAACGGCGAGUGAAGCGGCAAGAGCUCAAAUUUGAAAGCGAGAUUUCUCGCGUUGUAAUUUGAAGGCCCGUGUCAACCGACUAUAUUCAAGUCCUUUGGAACAAGGCGCCAUUGAGGGUGAUAGCCCCGUGGAAUAUUAAAGGUGACUACGGCACGGAGCCAACGAGUCGAGUUGUUUGGGAAUGCAGCUCAAAGUGGGUGGUAAACUCCAUCUAAAGCUAAAUACCGGCGAGAGACCGAUAGCGAACAAGUACAGUAAUGGAAAGAUGAAAAGCACUUUGAAAAGAGAGUGAAACAGUACGUGAAAUUGUUGAAAGGGAAGGGCUUGCAAGCAGACACGGUUUUACCGGGCCAGCAUCGGUAGAUACAGAGCGAAAAGGGGGGAAAUAUGUGGCGCUUUUUGCGUGUUAUAGUUUCCUCUGAUAACUCUGUUUCUUCCGAGGCCAGCGAUUCAUGGAUGUUGGCGUAAUGGUUGCAAGCCGCCCGUCUUGAAACACGGACCAAGGAGUCUAACGUCUAUGCGAGUGUUUGGGUGCAAAACCCAU